GUUUGUCCCACUGAGUACAGUGGAAAUCCCGUAUAACUGCGCUGUGAAGCAUCUUAGAAAAAUAUCCUGCCCAGCAAACAUGAAGAUGCAAAGUGUGGCCCUCCCAUAAGGUUGUUCUGUGUGUGACGGCAGUGUUGUAUGUGUCCGCCUUAAGACCCUGCCUGCCGUAUGUGCUUUGCCCCAUCUGAACGUGUAACUAGUAGGAGAGUGAGAGGAACAGCAUAGUGCACAAGUCCAGCAAAGGGGGGGUGUUUAAAUUUUUAAAGAUAUGCCAUUUUAGCCCUUUAAUUAUUGAAAGCUCCCAGUGAGCCAUGAAUAACUUGUGCAUAAUGCAGACCCACAGAAAUGUUUCAGCACCAUAUAUUCUGGAGAAUUUGGCUCAUGUCUGCACUCACUGUAGUACACAUUCUCUUUUUCUGAAAGGAAAAAAAAAGUCAGCUGUUGCGUCACA